rnacentral:misc_RNA from 1 species
AGAUGGAUCAUUCAUGAAUUACCGUUCAAUGCAUGUGGUUAAGUACUGGUAACAACAUAAAAGAAACGAUUAUGGUAAUGCUCGUGCAACAAACGAAAUAAAAGAUUAUGGUGAUGCUCGUGCAACAAACGAAGUAAAAGAUUAUGGUACUGCUCGUGCAACAAGUGAAAUAAACGACUAUGGUAGUUCUCGUGCAACAAAUGAAAUAAACGAUUAUGGUUAUCUUCGUGUAACAAGCGAAAUAAGAGAUUCUGGUUAUCUUCGUGUAACAAGUGAAAUCAAAGAUUGUGGUUAUCUUCGUGUAACAAGCGAAAUUAGAGAUUCUGGUUAUGUUCGUGUAACAAACGAGCUACAGUCUAAUUGGUGCGUCCACAAUUUGCAAACAUGCAUGAUUCUAUCUAUAUCUUUCAGCGAUGGAUGGCUCGGAUCUCAUAACGAUGAAGAACGUAGCUAGCUGCGAAAUGCAGUGUGACAUGCAAACUUCUGUGAAUCAUUAGAUUUUUGAACGCAAACGGUACUUCUAAAUUCUGGGAGUAUGUUUAGUUCAGUGCUUUUCUAUGUUUGUUGUCCUAACUGGGGGUCAACGUGGUUAGUGGCUGUGAUAAUGGCCACUUUAAAGGAAUGGUUAUAGUUUUUAGGUAUCACUGAAGAAACUAUAUUCCCAAUUAUUUUUUAAUAAGCCUGAACUUGAACAAGUAUACCCGUUGAACUUAAGCAUAUUACUAGGCGGAGGAAAAGAAACUAACAAGGAUUUCCUUAGUAACGGCGAGUGAACAGGAACCAGCUCAAACUGAAAAUCGGCAGUUUUCUGUCGAAUUGUAGUCUCAUGAAGUGCAGCCUGUGAAUGUUUUGAAUUAAGUCUCUUGGAAAAGAGUACCACAGAGGGUGAGAGUCCCGUCUUUAUUCAAAAUUAUUUACUGUCGGUGCAUUUUCAAAGAGUCGCGUUCUUUGAGAUUGGAACGCAAAGUGGGUGAUAAACUUCAUCUAAAGCUAAAUAUUAGUGGGAUUCCGAUAGAAAAAAAGUACCGUGAGGGAACGAUGAAAAGAACUUUGAAAAGAGAGUUAAAAGGAACUGAAAUUGCUGAAAGGGAAGUGGAGGGUUUCAACUGUUUAGCAAUGUUCUCUAUAUGCUCGGGGUAUUUUCUUAUCCACGAGCAUAUGGUAGAGUUUUGCGGUAACACUGGAUGUGGUUGUUUAGCUUGAUUACAGUAUUGCUUGGCUCUAUUAGAGCUCAAUCUUUAUUGGUUUCAAACUGGACAAUCUAUGUAUUUCUGAUUCAACAAUACUGUUGAAUUAUACUUCUCCAGGAAUGUUGAUUCCCUCCUCCCCGUCUUGAAUCACGGACCAAGGAGUCUAUUUUAUGUGUGAGUACAAGGGCUGAAAACCUACGUGCGCAAUUAAAGUAACAGUUAGGAGGGUUUAUACCUGCACUAACAUUCGGUCACUGAAUCGAAGUUGAACACAUAGAAUAGGACCCGAAAGAUGGUGAACUAUGCCUGAGUAGGGUGAAGCUAGAGGAAACUCUGGUGGAAGCUCGUAGCGAUACUGACGUGCAAAUCGUUCGUCAAACUUUGGUAUAGGGGCGAAAGACCAAUCGAACCAUCUAGUAGCUGGUUCAUUC